CAGCUUCAUGGUGACCCCAGUUUUGGGUUGGGUCAGUGAGAUGUGGUUUGAUGAUCCAAGAAAAUUGGGUGACAAAGUUUCAGAGAUUGUAAAGAGGCAAGCGGUUGGUCAAUAGACGUAGUGAAGUUGUUCACAAGUCCAGUGGAGUUCAGUAAGUGGUUUUCUUGUGAUUGCUUUGUGCCCUCUAUAACACAUUCUUGGAGUUUUGUUAAGUGUUUGACGAGAUUGUGUUUAUCUAGUUUCCAUGGUUAUGUUUCAUUGAUUGAGACUCUUGCAUUUGCAAAUUCUUUUUAAUUUGUCUAACACAUGCUUACAAGGA